rnacentral:rRNA from 1 species
AGGUCCUGCCUGCCCUGUGACUCUAUGUUUAACGGCCGCGGUAUUUUAACCGUGCAAAGGUAGCGCAAUCACUUGUCCCUUAAAUAGAGACCUGUAUGAAUGGCAUAACGAGGGCUAAACUGUCUCCUUUCCCUAGUCAAUGAAAUUGAUUUACCCGUGCAGAAGCGGGUAUAAAACCGUAAGACGAGAAGACCCUGUGGAGCUUUCAGACAAAGGACAGAUUAUGUUAAAUGACCCCAUAAAGAGUCUUAAACCAAAUAACUUCUGUCCCUAUCUUUGGUUGGGGCGACCGCGGGGAAACAACCAACCCCCACGUGGAAUAAGUAUACUUCUACUUUAAAGCUAGAGCCACAGCUCUAAUAAACAGAACAUCUGACCAUACAAGAUCCGGCACUGCCGAUCAACGGACCAAGUUACCCCAGGGAUAACAGCGCAAUCCUCUUCUAGAGCCCGUAUCGACAAGGGGGUUUACGACCUCGAUGUUGGAUCAGGACAUCCUAAUGGUGCAACCGCUAUUAAGGGUUCGUUUGUUCAACGAUUAAAGUCCU